rnacentral:rRNA from 1 species
GACGAACGCUGGCGGCGUGCUUAACACAUGCAAGUCGAACGGAAAGGCCCUGCUUUUGUGGGGUGCUCGAGUGGCGAACGGGUGAGUAACACGUGAGUAACCUGCCCUUGACUUUGGGAUAACUUCAGGAAACUGGGGCUAAUACCGGAUAGGAGCUCCUGCUGCAUGGUGGGGGUGGGAAAGUUUCGGCGGUUGGGGAUGGACUCGCGGCUUAUCAGCUUGUUGGUGGGGUAGUGGCUUACCAAGGCUUUGACGGGUAGCCGGCCUGAGAGGGUGGCCGGCCACAUUGGGACUGAGAUGCGGCCCAGACUACUCCGGGAGGCAGCAGUGGGGAAUAUUGCACAAUGGGCGGAAGCCUGAUGCAGCAACGCCGCGUGCGGGAUGACGGCCUUCGGGUUGUAAACCGCUUUCGCCUGUGACGAAGCGUGAGUGACGGUAAUGGGUAAAGAAGCACCGGCUAACUACGUG